GAUUCUUAGAAAUUAAAUCACUAUAAGUAGUGCUUGAUAGAUGUUCUUUAUCAUAUUGUAGAAAAGAUGGCUAUUGGUAUCAACAGAGUGCAUUUUUUCAUUGCAAUGCUAUGCAUUGUAUUUGCUUUGACAUCAGGAGGAGCCAUUGAUUCAAAAUCCACAUGGACUUAUUGCUUUGGACAAGGUCCAUGUCCAAAUAAUGAUCCAGCUUGUAGCAACCUUUGUCAACAAAAGAAGAUUUCUCAAGUUGGCAAGUGUAUUGCAAAUCAAUGUUGUUGUAGUGGAGAAUAGUACCAUCUCCUCAAACAAUUUGUAAACGCCAUCAAAAUAAGUUUAAAAUAAAGUACUUUGUUUAAGUUUUUUUA